rnacentral:rRNA from 1 species
UCGUGAGGGGCGCUACCAUGCAGUCGAGCGCACUCUUCGGAGUGAGCGGCGGACGGGUUAGUAACGCGUGGGAACGUGCCCUUCUCUAAGGAAUAGCCACUGGAAACGGUGAGUAAUACCUUAUACGCCCUUCGGGGGAAAGAUUUAUCGGAGAAGGAUCGGCCCGCGUUAGAUUAGAUAGUUGGUGGGGUAAUGGCCUACCAAGUCUACGAUCUAUAGCUGGUUUUAGAGGAUGAUCAGCAACACUGGGACUGAGACACGGCCCAGACUCCUACGGGAGGCAGCAGUGGGGAAUCUUGGACAAUGGGCGCAAGCCUGAUCCAGCCAUGCCGCGUGAGUGAUGAAGGCCUUAGGGUCGUAAAGCUCUUUCGCCAGAGAUGAUAAUGACAGUAUCUGGUAAAGAAACCCCGGCUAACUCCGUGCCAGCAGCCGCGGUAAUACGGAGGGGGUUAGCGUUGUUCGGAAUUACUGGGCGUAAAGCGCACGUAGGCGGAUCAGAAAGUAUAGGGUGAAAUCCCAGGGCUCAACCCUGGAACUGCCUUGUAAACUCCUGGUCUUGAGUUCGAGAGAGGUGAGUGGAAUUCCGAGUGUAGAGGUGAAAUUCGUAGAUAUUCGGAGGAACACCAGUGGCGAAGGCGGCUCACUGGCUCGAUACUGACGCUGAGGUGCGAAAGUGUGGGGAGCAAACAGGAUUAGAUACCCUGG